UCAAUGAUGUCAAUCCCUGGAUAAAUUAAUAACAUUAUUUUUUAUGAAUGAAUAUCAAUUAUUUUCCCAAAGAAAAAUUAAAGUCAGUGCUUGGAACAUCACAAUCCAGACCACGCCCUCUUCUUCCCUGCAAGAAAGCAAGAUGAAUGAUCAAGUCAUAUAUGUUUGGCUUCUAAUAUGAUAACUACUAGAAAAUAGAGCGAUUUAAAACAUGUGAAAUAUAAUGAAGUAGACUUAUAUAUCAAAUCUGUUCAUGUGAAUAAUCCUGGCCAUGUUUAUGAUUCAUAUGUAUGUGUGGUGUGUUUGGAACUAUACAAUCACACACACACAUAAAUGAAGAGGGAGAAGCAAAACUAGCUGCCAGAAAACAGCCCAAAAGGGUACAUGAGGUGAAAUUAUGAACACAGAUGUAUGCGGGUUACAAAAGUCUAAAGGAUUUGAACAUGUAAAUAAGGAUUAUAUCAUGCAAAAAGUCUACUAAACUCAUUUAUUCAAUAUGAGUGAUCUAUUUAAGGAGUUGAGACAAACCACGUCAAAAUUAUAAUUCAAUAUGAUUUCUAUUCAGCUUCAAAUCUGUUUUUUGUUUGUAUUUUCAUCUGCGUCGUCAUGUUUUUUUUUAAAAAGAAGCUAUAUUUACAAAGCUACAGUCACCAAUCCAUAACAGUAUAAUAUGAACAUUGUGAAACUGUCGAAGUUGUCGAGUCUUGAAUGAAUAGAAGCACUCACGCGGGAAAUAAAUCCGACGAGAACUGGCCACCGAGAAAACACAAACACCAAGCCUCUACAAGGUGAUAUGAUA
rnacentral:lncRNA from 1 species